AUUGAACGCUGGCGGCAUGCCUUACACAUGCAAGUCGAACGGCAGCGGACCUUCGGGUGCCGGCGAGUGGCGAACGGGUGAGUAAAGUAUCGGAACGUACCUUUCAGUGGGGGAUAACGUAGCGAAAGUUACGCUAAUACCGCAUAUUCUGUGAGCAGGAAAGCAGGGGAUCGCAAGACCUUGCGCUGAUUGAGCGGCCGAUAUCAGAUUAGCUAGUUGGUGAGGUAAAGGCUCACCAAGGCGACGAUCUGUAGCGGGUCUGAGAGGAUGAUCCGCCACACUGGAACUGAGACACGGUCCAGACUCCUACGGGAGGCAGCAGUGGGGAAUUUUGGACAAUGGGGGCAACCCUGAUCCAGCCAUGCCGCGUGAGUGAAGAAGGCC
rnacentral:rRNA from 1 species